rnacentral:rRNA from 1 species
GACAGAGGGGGCAAGCGUUUGCUCGGAAUCACUGGGCGUAAAGGGCGCGUAGGCGGCCUGAUAAGUAGGGGUGAAAUCCUGCGGCUUAACCGCAGGGCUGCCUUCUAAACUGUCGGGCUCGAGCACAGUAGAGGCAGGUGGAAUUCCCGGUGUAGCGGUGGAAUGCGUAGAGAUCGGGAAGAACAUCAGUGGCGAAGGCGGCCUGCUGGGCUGUUGCUGACGCUGAGGCGCGACAGCGUGGGGAGCAAACAGG